AUCAUUUGAGAAACCAAGGAUGUUGAGUCUGCCAAUAAGAAUGUGGUGAUUGACAGAGUCGAAAGCCUUGGCCAGGUCGAUGAAUACGGCUGCACAGUAAUGUCUCUUAUCAAUGGCGGUUAUGAUAUCGUUUAGGACCUUAAGCGUGGCUGAGGUGCACCCAUGACCAGCUCUGAAACCAGAUUGCGUAGCGGAGAAGGUACGGUAGGAUUCAAAAUGGUCGGUGAUCGGUUUGUUAACUUGGCUUUCGAAGACCUUAGAAAGGCAGGGUAGGAUAGAUACAGGUCUGUAGCAGUUUGGGUCUAGAGUGUCACCCCCUUUGAAGAGGGGGAUGACCGCGGCAGCUUUCCAAUCUUUGGGAAUCUCAGACAAUACAAAAGAAAGGUUGAACAGGCUAAUAAUAGGGGUUGCAACAAUUUCGGCAGAUAAUUUUAGAAAGAGAGGGUCCAGAUUGUCUAGCCCAGCUGAUUUACUUUGUCUGAGAU
rnacentral:lncRNA from 1 species